GUUUCCUCUUGUUUAUGAAGCAACUCAGUUGGUUAAGGGGCAGACAACUUGUGAGCAUGGUACAUCACUACCUGUAUUGGUAUUCCAUUUUGACAAUGUUACUAGCUAGAAUAGAAAUAACAUCUUGUUGUGGUACAGUCUGUGGAGACUUACUAGGAUAUCACAGAUCGAUUGAAUAUUCAACAAUGAUCACAGACCAUGCAAAGUUUGAAUCUGACUUGCACUUUUGAAUUUAGAAGAAUCUGUGGAGGAGGUUGAAUGCUGAGACAUUUAAUAAUACAUGAUAUUGCUGACACAGUGUGUCAGUCAUGAAAGAAAGGCCAUAACACUGCACAGUUGGUCAACAAUGAUUUAAAUCCUGUCACAUUCUACCAGUGAAGAAAUAUCUUAUCACAAUAUUUUAAACUUUUGAAGAAGAUAACCCAGUAUUACCACUUUAUCAUGUCUGCAGAAACACCUGGAUUGUUAGUGUUAAAAGUGACAGUCCAUUUAACUUACUAAAAUCUACUCCCCCUUGCCAAACGAAUAUUAUUGACAUGGAAUGACACAAGCCUGAUAAUGGUACCUGUAUGGACUCGUAAGAGAAUAGUAUUUGUCUGAAAAGUCAAAGGAUUCUGUUUGUCCCAAACCACUUCAACUGAAAACUGAAAUUGUGAUUGGCGAGGAUUUUUCUGAGAACUG
rnacentral:lncRNA from 1 species